CUCGCUCGCCCCCUCUCCUUCUCCUCCUCCCGGUCCUUCCGUCUCCUCCUCUUCCUCGUCCUUUUCUCCUCCGCUCACCGCCCCCGCAGCUGAUUUGUCAGCUCCUCUCCCCGCCCCUCCCCCGGCGCUCGCCGCUUUCCCCGCCGCGUGCUCUUCACUCCUCUUCUCGGCUGGGGAUGGGGCGUGGAGGAAGGCUGGCCCUCCAGCUCCGGCAGCCCGCCAGGUCCUGGGAGACGGGAAGGUGGGGGUGUUCUGGGGCUCACUUCAAGUCACGGGGGCUCUUGCGGAGGUUCGGAGCGGUUAGGCUUGGACUGAUGUCUCUCCCUCUUUCCCAUCCCCCCCUUCCCAGUCUCCGCCUUUCCCUCUGGUUCCUCACGGGGACCCCCCACGUCAGAACCGGCCUGGGGAAGUGGAAGUCUGGGCGAUCGACCACCAAAGAUAGAGCCAGUCUCUCGGGGAGCUGCUGAAGGAGACAGGCAGCGUAGGAAGGGUGCUCCCAUCGGCACUGCCAAGAGCAUGUUUCCCUCGGAUCGCUGAAAUUUGAUUAAUGGUCGUAGGACACAACGUUAACGAUGCUUUUGUUUAAAGAGCCUCCAGAUGUACGUUUGCUCUUAACCUCUCAUGAGCCCGAAAUGGGCUCGCGGGUGGAGAGAAGACGAGUAAAGAAGAGUUACAGGUUGAAGAGGCAAGAGGAGGCGCGUCAAAUCCUCUUCCCACCCCCACUCUCACCAUUUUCUUUUCCACCAACCAGCGGCUGCCAGACGCUGAUUUUCCCAUCAGUGGAACAAGGAAGGAAUAGUCUCCUCAGCCGUCGAAACCAAGCGGCUGUAAGGCUUUUCGUUCUCAGAGUGGAAUUUACUUUCCAGAUUCAAGGGCCUGGCUGGAAGAGACACAUCCAGCGUGACUGAGUCUCCUGACCCAGCAGAUCCAAUUUCUUCCGCCCCUUCUGCAAAGGGAGAUUCUACACACCACUCACCUUUCCGACUUCUGAUUCCCGUUGUCCUCGGUGCUGACACGCUACCGCAUCCCACACACAGACACACAGGCAGACACUCGCACGGGUUUCAAGACAUUUUUGCAUUGCUUAAUUGGAAGGAGCUGGAGGGAAAACAGGUGUUCUGGAUCACACCGGAAUGGAGACCCAAGAGCCUCCCCGUAACAGAUCUGCCUCUGCUUUCUUUGCCUGGAAUGAGAGGAUGCUUUUAGAACUGGAAGGGGAAAAGAAGUCUUUGCUGUAUGAUUCCACACCUUUAUAUGGUACAUUAUGCUUGGCAAAGGACUAAUGUAUGAUCAUUUAAUCAUAACAAGUGGGUGUGCCAUGUGCUAAGCUUGAGCUGCAAAGUGGAACGACAUGAAAAAUACGGAAGCUUCCCGUGACCAUAUACUAAAGGAAGGAUAAGAACUGAUUUGUGUUUAAGUAAGGAAAAUACAAUCUUUACUGUCUUUGAAUAAUAUUCCAUGUUUGUUGUGAAACACAAGGAGCAAUGUAAUGUGGAUUCUUGGGCCUCUUGUUUCUCACUCUCUUCUGCACCUUCCUCUCAUCUUCAGUAGAUGUAGGAAAACAGGAGGUAGUGAGAUCUUGGUAGCCUUCUCUUGUCAUUUCAUGGUGGGCACAGAAGGGAAAGCCUAAUGCAUACAGUUGGGAUGGCAUUGUGUGUGAUUUUGGAAAGGGGUUGCACUUGAGACAGGGUUACUCCAAAGAAAUAUGAAAAACAAUAAAGAGGACAUAUAGGGUUCAGAGAAGAUUAUUUAAUUUGACCCCAUGGACAACUUCAUGUUGUUUCUGCGAUACCCCGUGCAGCAAAAAAUAAUGGACAUUUAUUCCAGCACGAUGUAUUUAUCAUACUUAUUAAUACUGUAGUAUAUCCUCAAUAAUGUCGAAUGACCAUAAUUUGUAACCACAAGAAGGUGCCAUGUGAAAGGUGUAAAAUUCAACUGGGCAUCAUUUUAAAUAUCCUUGUGGCUUUUGGUGCUAAGAAUAUUAAGACAUGCAAGAUUCUAUGGUUAAAGCCUUUAAAGCUAGGUAGAAAAGAUGUUUAAAUAUUGGGGGAUCCAAAAGUUCAAAUAGAUGGCCAACAGGCACAUGAACAAAUGCUCAACAUCACUAAUUAUUAGAGAAAUGCAAAUCGAAACCACAAUGAGGUACCAUCUCACACUGGUCAGAAUGGCCAUCAUCAAGAAGUGUAUAAAUAAUAAAUGCUGGAGAGAGUAUGGAGAAAAGGGAACCCUCCUACCCUGUUGGUGGGAAUGUAUAUUGGUGCAGCCACUAUGGAAAACAGUAUGGAGGUUCCUUUAAAAACUAAAAAUAGAGUUGCCAUAUGAUCCAACAAUUCCAGUUUUGGGCAUAUAUCCAGAAAAGACGAAAACACUAAUUUGAAAAGAUACACACACCCCAGUGUUCAUAGCAGCAAUAUUUACAAUAGCCAAGGCGUGGAAGCAGCCCGAAUGUCCAUCAACAUAUACAUACAAUGGAAUACUACUCAGUCAUAAAAAUGAAUGAAAUAAUGCCAUUUGCAGCAACGUGGAUGGACCUAGAGAGUAUCAUACUAAGUAAGUCAGACAGAGAUAAAUAUCAUAUAAUAUCACUUAUAUGUGUACUCUAAAACAAGGAUGCAAAUCAACUUAUUUAUGAAACAGAAAUAGACUCGCAGACAUAGAAAAUGAACUUAUGGUUAUCAAAGGGGAAAGGCAGAGGGAGGGAUAAAUUGGGAAUUUGAGAUUAACAUAUACACACUACUAUAUAUAAAAUAGAUUUUAAAAAACAAGGAUCUACUGUAUAGCUAUAUACUAUAUUCAAUAUCAUGUAAUAAUCUAUAAUGGAAAAGGAAUCCGAAAAAGAAUAUAUAUUUUUUUGGGCUUCCCUGGUGGCGCAGUGGUUGAGAGUCCGCCUGCCGAUGCAGGGGACACAAGUUCGUGCCCCAGUCCGGGAAGAUCCCACAUGCCGCGGGGCGGCUGGGCCCGUGAGCCACGGCCGCUGAGCCUGCGCGUCCGGAGCCUGCGCUCCGCAACGGGAGAGGCCGCAACAGUGAGGCCAGCAAAGCGCAAAAAAAAAAAAAAAAAAAAAAAAGAAUAUAUAUAUUCUAAAUCACUUUGCUGUAGACCUGAAACAUUGUAAAUCAACUAUACUUCAAUUUAAAAAUUUUUUAAAUUAAAAAUGAAACCAACAAAAAAAUUCAAAUAACUUUAAUAUUUGAAGGGAAAGCAUGUUUAUGAACUCAAGAAGUGAGUAAGCAUGGUAGACUUCAGAAAGUAGAGGAACUGGGUACAGGUUAAAUGCAGGGACUGAUCUAGGCUCUACUACUUGGUAGCAGGACUGAGAGCAAGUAUCCCAAUUCUCUGACCUCUAAUUUUCAUAUCUGUAAAAUGGGGAUGCCAUCUCGUGUGAUUGCUGUAAGGAAUAAAUAAUAUGCUUUUUAGGAAAGAACCAAGCACAGUGGAAUUUCUCAAUACAAGUAGCAAUUAUUGUUAUCUAGCCUCUAUAUUUUAGGGUGCCCUAGGAAACACUUUUUUCCUUGCAGAAGUUUUCAACAUUAUUACCAGCCCUCCCCAACCUCCCUUCCCACCACAACACGCCCGAGGUAUCUGAUGCCUCCCCAUCAAUAACUUUGCCUUACUAUGGCAAGGAAAACAUUUCCAACCAGGGAUGGAAGUUGUGGGGAGAUGAGAGUGUGGGGAGUCUAGAGACAUUGAUAGAGGUCAUUAGCAGAAAAUCUGCCAAUAUCUCUUUUCUCUCCUUAAUGUGUAGAUUACAGUAACAACAUCACUCAUGGCAAUUUGCUUCAGGAGCCUGCAAAAAUAGAGAAAUAGAAAUAUAUCACUGUCUUUAUUGAUAGUUUUACAUUCUUGGAACCUGGUUUCUUUAAAGGGGUGGUGGCAGAGUUCUGUUUGAAUUAUGUUAAUUUUCUAAGGGAGAAAAAUAAAAUGCUACAACAAAUGGUGUUCCAAGUUUGCCAGACUCAUUGUGACAGCAACCCUGAAGGCUUCAGAAUGAAUAUCCAGUUCAGAGAUAAACUCAGCCUCUCAUGUUCCAGCUGAGUGAAGAAUGGACAGACUGAUGGGACAGUGACAGAUCGACUUAUACUUUUCAACAGCAUCUGUGUGCAGAAAGGCACAAAAUAAAUGGAUGAAGAAACGUUUCAGGAAAAUUUAUAAUGUUUUCGUAUGAUGUGUUAAACUGACGUUUUUUGGGGGGUUUUUUUGUGUUUUUU